ensembl:lncRNA
CAAAGUGAUAGGUCUACAAAUUUAGCCUACCACCUGAGUCUGUAUAAAGACUAUGAACUAAGAAUGGGUUUUACAUUUUUAAAUGGCUGAGGGUGAAAAAGGUCAAGAGAUUAUUUCGUGAGAGGUGUAUUAUAUGAAAGUCACCCCUUGGCCCACAAAGCCUAAAUUUUAAAAAAAAAAAAAAUUGUCAAAAAGUUUGUUGAUCCUGCUUUAGGGCAACGUGAAUCAUUGCCUCCCAUGGAAACUGCUGCUACUCUGAAAAAAAGUCACAAUUCUGGCAGCAGGAGGAAGCAAUGGAUAUCAUGCAGGCAGCGCUCAGUGACUGUCACAUAGGCCAGUCACCGCACUACAAGCCUUUGCCAGCGAUCUAAUCUGCAGUAGCAUGAGCUAAGAGCGCCCCCUCUCAUCAGGAAGCUAACCAAGGGGGUUUUUUAGGAAGCCCUCUACCUCAAGGAAAUGGCAACCAAUCCAGCGUUCUUGCCUGGAGAAUCCCAGGGACAGGGGCGCCUGCUCGGCUGCCGUCUCUGGGGUCACACAGAGUCGGACACGACUGAACCGAGUUAGCAGCAGCAGCAGCAGCAGCUACCUCAAGAAGAGUUUCCCAAACUGACCAAAGGUGUGGAAUUUUGAAAAAGUAAAAGGGGACACAAUGAAAUAUCUGUCUGGCUAUGCCUCAAAAGGCUCAAUCAGUUAUUAUUUGCUCAAUGAAAUUACCCUCAGCCAAGGGGCUGGUCCUUGGUAUUACAGGUGUAGAAAGUAGGUCUGGUCAGUGUCCCACAGUUACCAGUCCCAUAGAAGCUACACAGAUGGCCUACCUCACUAGGACAUGAAGUUCAUAAGCCCGAAGCCAAUGUGCUCAUUUUUAAUGGAAACUAUAACUUAACUACCACACAAGCCAGUGUUCUCAUGAUGAUAAAAGAACUUAAUGGGAAGCCAAACUGUGGUCUGAAAGAUGCAGAGGUUCAGAGGCAGAGCCAGGAAGUUAAAGGGAAAAUUCACUUAUUUAGUACACUGGUAUGGGGACUUGUUCCCAGGACAAGGUUCCAUGUCCCGGUGCACUGUGCCUCUGAUUCCCUCUCCAUCCUCCCAUCUCAUGUUUCCCCAUGUCAGCCUUUUGUCUUACUCUGUUCCUCAGGAGUGAGAGAUAAUAACAUAAACAAAAUAUAUAGGAAAUGGUGAUAAGCAAAAAAUACAUAACAGGGAAAGGGAACAGGAAAUGUUGAAGCUGUGGAACAUUGUACUUCCAGAUUGAGUACCCAGGGAAAGUCUCAGGUAAAGGUUACUGUGUGAGAAAAGACCUGAAGGUGGUAAUGCUGUGAACCAUGCAGAUUGCUGGGAAAAGCAUUUCUUGCAAAUGGAACAGCAAGUGCACAGUCUUAGGAGAAGACGGUGUGUUCAGGUUAGUGUGUGCAGGGUAGAUCAGGCAGAUCAGGCAAAGUAGAGGAACAGAAAAUGUGGCUGCCAAAUAUAGUACGGGAUGAAUGCCAAAGUGCAUGGAGCCGUGUAAAUAACACAGGACUCUGGCUUUCCCGCUGAGUGAAGCGGUGCCUUACAAGAGUUUGAGGAGAGAAGUGACAGGGUCUGACUUUGGGUGGACAGGGUUAUUCUAGCUAUUGUGUAAAUCAAAAAAAAGAAAAGAAAGAAAAAUCAGACUGAAAGCAGGGAGAUUCUGGAUACUGUGGAGAUGGCAUUUCCAUGGGCUACAUCUGUGCUCAGCUUUCCUUUCCCAAGUUACCAUCUAUACCUGCCUGCCUUAUUAGGAGCCCUUAACAUCUCAGGAAAGGCUAUUGUUAAAUCAAAACCACUUCCAACUUAAAGUGACAUCCUGUCAAGUCCUUAAUGAAACCCUUCUCCUUAAAAUACCAAUAAAUACUUAAAAAUAGGAUAGAAAUUCAAGACAUGUCUGAAAUGUAAGGAUAUCAGCCAACCAUUUGGCCAACAG